AUGCUGGAGGUAUCAGAAGUGCGAAUGCUGACAUAAGUAACGAUAAAGCGGGUGAAAAGCCCGCUCGCCGGAAGACCAAGGGUUCCUGUCCAACGUUAAUCGGGGCAGGGUGAGUCGACCCCUAAGGCGAGGCCGAAAGGCGUAGUCGAUGGGAAACAGGUUAAUAUUCCUGUACUUGGUGUUACUGCGAAGGGGGGACGGAGAAGGCUAUGUUGGCCGGGCGACGGUUGUCCCGGUUUAAGCGUGUAGGCUGGUUUUCCAGGCAAAUCCGGAAAAUCAAGGCUGAGGCGUGAUGACGAGGCACUACGGUGCUGAAGCAACAAAUGCCCUGCUUCCAGGAAAAGCCUCUAAGCAUCAGGUAACAUCAAAUCGUACCCCAAACCGACACAGGUGGUCAGGUAGAGAAUACCAAGGCGCUUGAGAGAACUCGGGUGAAGGAACUAGGCAAAAUGGUGCCGUAACUUCGGGAGAAGGCACGCUGAUAUGUAGGUGAAGUCCCUCGCGGAUGGAGCUGAAAUCAGUCGAAGAUACCAGCUGGCUGCAACUGUUUAUUAAAAACACAGCACUGUGCAAACACGAAAGUGGACGUAUACGGUGUGACGCCUGCCCGGUGCCGGAAGGUUAAUUGAUGGGGUCAGCGCAAGCGAAGCUCUUGAUCGAAGCCCCGGUAAACGGCGGCCGUAACUAUAACGGUCCUAAGGUAGCGAAAUUCCUUGUCGGGUAAGUUCCGACCUGCACGAAUGGCGUAAUGAUGGCCAGGCUGUCUCCACCCGAGACUCAGUGAAAUUGAACUCGCUGUGAAGAUGCAGUGUACCCGCGGCAAGACGGAAAGACCCCGUGAACCUUUACUAUAGCUUGACACUGAACAUUGAGCCUUGAUGUGUAGGAUAGGUGGGAGGCUUUGAAGUGUGGACGCCAGUCUGCAUGGAGCCGACCUUGAAAUACCACCCUUUAAUGUUUGAUGUUCUAACGUUGACCCGUAAUCCGGGUUGCGGACAGUGUCUGGUGGGUAGUUUGACUGGGGCGGUCUCCUCCUAAAGAGUAACGGAGGAGCACGAAGGUUGGCUAAUCCUGGUCGGACAUCAGGAGGUUAGUGCAAUGGCAUAAGCCAGCUUGACUGCGAGCGUGACGGCGCGAGCAGGUGCGAAAGCAGGUCAUAGUGAUCCGGUGGUUCUGAAUGGAAGGGCCAUCGCUCAACGGAUAAAAGGUACUCCGGGGAUAACAGGCUGAUACCGCCCAAGAGUUCAUAUCGACGGCGGUGUUUGGCACCUCGAUGUCGGCUCAUCACAUCCUGGGGCUGAAGUAGGUCCCAAGGGUAUGGCUGUUCGCCAUUUAAAGUGGUACGCGAGCUGGGUUUAGAACGUCGUGAGACAGUUCGGUCCCUAUCUGCCGUGGGCGCUGGAGAAUUGAGGGGGGCUGCUCCUAGUACGAGAGGACCGGAGUGGACGCAUCACUGGUGUUCGGGUUGUCAUGCCAAUGGCACUGCCCGGUAGCUAAAUGCGGAAGAGAUAAGUGCUGAAAGCAUCUAAGCACGAAACUUGCCCCGAGAUGAGUUCUCCCUGACUCCUUGAGAGUCCUGAAGGAACGUUGAAGACGACGACGUUGAUAGGCCGGGUGUGUAAGCGCAGCGAUGCGUUGAGCUAACCGGUACUAAUGAACCGUGAGGCUUAACCUUACAACGCCGAAG
rnacentral:rRNA from 1 species